rnacentral:rRNA from 1 species
AACGAACGCUGGCGGCAUGCCUAACACAUGCAAGUCGAACGAGACCUUCGGGUCUAGUGGCGCACGGGUGCGUAACGCGUGGGAACCUGCCCUUAGGUUCGGAAUAACUCCCCGAAAGGGGUGCUAAUACCGGAUAAUGUCUUCGGACCAAAGAUUUAUCGCCUUUGGAUGGGCCCGCGUUGGUUUAGCCAGUUGGUAGGGUAAAAGCCUACCAAGGCGACGAUCCAUAGCUGGUCUGAGAGGAUGAUCAGCCACACUGGGACUGAGGCACGGCCCAGACUCCUACGGGAGGCAGCAGUGGGGAAUAUUGGACAAUGGGCGAAAGCCUGAUCCAGCAAUGCCGCGUGAGUGAUGAAGGCCUUAGGGUUGUAAAGCUCUUUUACCCGGGAUGAUAAUGACAGUACCGGGAGAAUAAGCUCCGGCUAACUCCGUG